rnacentral:piRNA from 1 species
AGCCAUGAGGUAGGCAUGAGGCCGUUUGA